rnacentral:rRNA from 1 species
CACGUAGGGUGCGAGCGUUGUCCGGAAUUACUGGGCGUAAAGGGCGCGUAGGUGGCCUUCUAAGUUGAACGUGAAAUCCCUGGGCUCAACCCAGGAACUGCGUCCAAGACUGGGAGGCUUGAAUCCGGGAGAGGGAUGCGGAAUUCCAGGUGUAGCGGUGAAAUGCGUAGAUAUCUGGAGGAACACCGGUGGCGAAGGCGGCAUCCUGGACCGGUAUUGACACUGAGGCGCGAAAGCCAGGGGAGCAAACGGG